rnacentral:tRNA from 1 species
GCUUUCAUGGUGUAAUCGUCAGCACGCUCGCCGCGUAACCGAGAGGUCCGUGGUUCGAUUCCCGGCGAAGGCA